ACAGAGAAAACAGGUUCCUAACAAGCACCACAGUCUGCGUUGUGACUGUCAUUGAAAAUGUGAUUUCUGGGGCACCUGAGUGGCUCAGGUCACCAAACAUCCGACUUUGGCUCGGGUCGUGAUCUCA